rnacentral:rRNA from 1 species
GGAUUAGAUACCCUGGUAGUCUACGCCGUAAACGAUGGAUACUAGUUGUUUGGAAUUCGUUCUGAGUGACUAAGCGAAAGUGAUAAGUAUCCCACCUGGGGAGUACGUUCGCAAGAAUGAAACUCAAAGGAAUUGACGGGGGCCCGCACAAGCGGUGGAGCAUGUGGUUUAAUUCGAUGAUACGCGAGGAACCUUACCAGGGCUUAAAUGUGGAAUGACAGGUUUAGAGAUAGACUUUUCUUCGGACAUUUCACAAGGUGCUGCAUGGUUGUCGUCAGCUCGUGCCG